CGUGCGGGCGAUACGGGCAGACUUGAGUACUGCAGGGGAGACUGGAAUUCCUGGUGUAGCGGUGGAAUGCGCAGAUAUCAGGAGGAACACCGGUGGCGAAGGCGGGUCUCUGGGCAGUAACUGACGCUGAGGAGCGAAAGCGUGGGGAGCGAACAGGAUUAGAUACCCUGGUAGUCCACGCCGUAAACGGUGGGUACUAGGUGUGGGUUUCCUUCCUUGGGAUCCGUGCCGUAGCUAACGCAUUAAGUACCCCGCCUGGGGAGUACGGCCGCAAGGCUAAAACUCAAAGAAAUUGACGGGGGCCCGCACAAGCGGCGGAGCAUGUGGAUUAAUUCGAUGCAACGCGAAGAACCUUACCUGGGUUUGACAUGCACAGGACGCCGGCAGAGAUGUCGGUUCCCUUGUGGCCUGUGUGCAGGUGGUGCAUGGCUGUCGUCAGCUCGUGUCGUGAGAUGUUGGGUUAAGUCCCGCAACGAGCGCAACCCUUGUCUCAUGUUGCCAGCGGGUAAUGCCGGGGACUCGUGAGAGACUGCCGGGGUCAACUCGGAGGAAGGUGGGGAUGACGUCAAGUCAUCAUGCCCCUUAUGUCCAGGGCUUCACACAUGCUACAAUGGCCGGUACAAAGGGCUGCGAUGCCGCGAGGUUAAGCGGAUCCUUUUAAAGCCGGUCUCAGUUCGGAUCGGGGUCUGCAACUCGACCCCGUGAAGUCGG
rnacentral:rRNA from 1 species